rnacentral:sRNA from 1 species
CUGUAUAUUUUUUAAACAGAGCAGUUAAAAGUUGCUCGAAAAAGAAUCAACGCCUACAAUUUUUUUGGCUUCUUGCUUUACGUCAGUUUACUUACGACUAGUAAUGGGUAGUAUGUACGCCGGCUAAUUCCUCACUGUGAGGAGA